rnacentral:rRNA from 1 species
UUUAAUGAGAGUUUGAUCCUGGCUCAGGACGAACGCUGGCGGCGUGCCUAAUACAUGCAAGUAGAACGCUGAGGUUUGGUGUUUACACUAGACUGAUGAGUUGCGAACGGGUGAGUAACGCGUAGGUAACCUGCCUCAUAGCGGGGGAUAACUAUUGGAAACGAUAGCUAAUACCGCAUAAGAGUAAUUAACACAUGUUAGUUAUUUAAAAGGAGCAAUUGCUUCACUGUGAGAUGGACCUGCGUUGUAUUAGCUAGUUGGUGAGGUAAAGGCUCACCAAGGCGACGAUACAAAGCCGACCUGAGAGGGUGA